CCUACGGGAGGCAGCAGUGAGGAAUAUUGGUCAAUGGCCGCAGGGCUGAACCAGCCAAGUCGCGUGAGGGAUGACGGUCCCAUGGAGUGUAAACCUCUUAUGUCAGGCAGCAAAGGGCGCCACGUGUGGCGUUUGGCGAGUACCUGAAGAAAAAGCAUCGGCUAACUCCGUGCCUGCAGCCGCGGUAAUACGGAGGAUGCGGGCGUUAUCCGGAUUUAUUGGGUUUAAGGGGUGCGCAGGCGGAAGGUCAAGUCAGCGGUAAAAUUUCGGGGCGAAACCCCGUCGUGCCGUUGAGACUGGCGUGCUUGAGUGAGCGAGAAGUAUGCGGAAUGCGUGGUGUAGCGGUGAAAUGCAUAGAUAUCACGCAGAACUCCGAUGGCGAAGGCAGCAUACCGGCGCUCAACUGACGCUCAUGCACGAAAGCGUGGGUAUCGAACAGGAUUAGAUACCCGGGUAGUC
rnacentral:rRNA from 1 species